rnacentral:lncRNA from 1 species
CACAGGUGAGAGAGUUUGAGUGCACAGGUGUGCGUGCGUGUGAGCGUGCGUGCGUGCGUGCGAGAAGGUCAGAGUGCGCCGCGUGUCCGUGAGUGAAAGUGCGCGUUUUUGUGUUCAGAUGGAGGACGCCCCCAGCUCCCAGAAGAGCGGGCGACUUUCUUCCUCUCACGACUUGGGGAGAGGAGGAGGAGGACCGUUUCCGACGUGGACAGGUUUCGACGUCUUAGGGGUCCAGGUAAAGGCGAUUCAAUUAUGGGAUAUGAGGCUGGUCAGGAAGCAUGAGAGCCUGCACCAUCCUGCAGGCCACAGAGACCUUCGGUGGACAGUUCUGAAUGGGAUAAAGCCUGCAGGCCAGUACUCCCAUGAGAGCUCUUCUCCCACAGGCUGACAUCAGGCUGCCACAGCCACCAGAUCCCCAAGUGGCUUCCUGGAUGAGAGAGAGUUGGAGACCAGGUGGGCUGCCCAGAGGCCAGAGCUGGACUUGAACUGAGGGCCUGCGUGGCCUGAACAAGCGGUGACCAGGACUAUAAUCCAGGGCACCCAUGGAGGCUUUCAAGGUUGGCCAGAUUCUCUGCAAACUCAGAUCCAGUCCUGGGCUGGGCCAGUUCUUGAGUGUGAACUCCUGAGAUCCAGCCUAGCACUGUUCUGGGAGUAGCAGCAGUUGUCACCUUCUCCAAAUCCACUGGCCUUUUAAAAAAUAGUUGGAAUUAAGUGAAUCGACUGACAAGGGAUUAAUCUCCAAAAUUUAUAAACACCUUCUGCAGCUCCAUACCAAAAAAACAAACAACCCCAUCCAAAAAUUGGCAGAAGAUCUAAACAGACAGUUCUCCAAAGAAGACAUACAGAUGGCUGAGAAACACAUGAAAAGAUGUUCAACAUCACUCAUUAUUAGAGAAAUUCAAAUCAAAACCUCUAUGAGGUACCACCUUAUACCAGCCAGAAUGGCCAUCAUCCAAAAGUCUACAAACAAGAAGUGCUGGAGAGGGUGUGGAGAAAAAGGAACCCUAUGACACUGUUGGUGGGAUUGUAAAUUGGUGAAACCACUUUGGAAAGCAGUACGGAGAUUCCUCAGAAAACUAAACAUAGAACUACCAUUUGAUCCAGCAAGCCCACUCCUGGGCAUCUACCCAGAGAAAACCACGACUCGAAAAGACACAUGUACUCCGAUGUUCAUUGACGCACUCUUUGCAAUAGCCAAGACAUGGAAACAACCUAAAUGUCCAUCGACAGAGGAGUGGAUCCAGAAGAUGUGGCACAUAUACACAAUGGAAUAUUACUCAGCCGUUAAAAAGAACGAAAUACCAGCAUUUUUUGCAAGAUGGAUGGACCUAGAAACUAUAAUGCUAAGUGAAGUCAGCCAUACAAUGAGACACCAACAUCAAAUGCUUUCGGUGACAUGUGGAAUCUGAAAAAAGGACAGACGGAACUUCUUUGCAGAGCAGAUGCUGACUCACAGACAUUGAAAAACUUAUGGUCUCCGGAGGAGACAGUUUGGGGGGUGGGGGGAUGUGCUUAAGCUGUGGGAUUGAAAUCCCAUGAAAUCAAAUUGUUAUGAUCAUUAUACAACUACAGAUGUGAUAAAUUCAUUUGAGUAAUAGAAAAAUUUUUUUAAAAAGUUGGAAUUGUCUCCCCAGUUAAUUCCCUUGGUUUGCUUUUGUGGGCUUCCCCCUGCCUCAUUUAAAGUUUUUAAACUAUAGAAAAGUACAGACUAUAGCAGAUACCAGUGUCAAAAUUUAUAAACAUUGAGACGUGGUCAUGUUUACUUCAGAAAUUUUAAAUUCAUGUAAAAGCAAAAAUAUUGCAGAAUACCAUUCCUCCCACCUCAUGGUACUUUCCAUAUGUUUGAGCUGUAUAGACACACCCGUGCAAACAAGGUCCAUGAG